CCUACGGGGGGCAGCAGUGGGGGAUAUUGCACAAUGGGGGAAACCCUGAUGCAGCGACGCCGCGUGAGUGAAGAAGUAUUUCGGUAUGUAAAGCUCUAUCAGCAGGGAAGAAAAUGACAGUACCUGACCCAGAAGCCCCGGCUAACUACGUGCCAGCAGCCGCGGUAAUACGUAGGGGGCAAGCGUUAUCCGGAUUUACUGGGUGUAAAGGGAGCGUAGACGGUUAUGUAAGUCUGGAGUGAAAGCCCGGGGCGCAACCCCGGGACUGCAUUGGAAACUGUGUAACUGGAGGACAGGAGGGGCAGGCGGAAUUCCUGGUGUAGCGGUGAAAUGCGUAGAUAUCAGGAGGAACACCAGCGGCGAAGGCGGCCUGCUGGACUGAAACUGACGUUGAGGCUCGAAAGCGUGGGGAGCAAACAGGAUUAGAUACCCUGGUAGUC
rnacentral:rRNA from 1 species